rfam:Ovis aries breed Texel chromosome 4, whole genome shotgun sequence.
UAGCUCAGUUGGUAAAGAAUCUGCCUGCAGUGCAGGAGACCCAGGUUCAAUUCCUGG